CGGGAAGCAAGUUCAGGGAGUGAGUGUUUUAAUAAAAAUAAACGGAACAUAAUACAAAACAAGAACCGCGAACAACGCACAGAUAUGAAACAGAAAGAAUGACGCCUGAAGAAGGAACCAAAGGGAGUGACAUAUAUAGGGCAGGUAAUCAAGGAAGUGAUGGAGGACAGGUGAGUCUGACGAUGCGCAGGUGAGUGUAACGAUGGUGACAGGUGUGCGCUAUAACGAGCAGCCUGGUGACCUAGAGGCCGGAGAGGGAACACAUGUGACAGCAGCUUGAUGAGAGCUAGUCAAUAUUUAAAUCACCCAGAAAAUAUACUUCUCUUUUGAUAUCACAUACAUUAUCAAGCAUUUCACACAUAUUAUCCAGAUACUGACUGUUAGCACAGAUGAACUUGUAGCCGUAUUACUUUAACAGUAUUUAACAUUAGAUCGUCUCUAAGCUUUACAGGAAUGUUUUUUUUUUACAUAGACCGCAACACCGCCCCGUUGGCAUUUCUGUGUUUUCGGUAAAAGUUAUAACCAUGUAUUGCUACCACUGUGUCAUCAAAGAUAUUAUCUAAGUGAGUUUCAGAGAUAGUCAGAAUAUGGAUGUUACAAGCAAGUUAUUGACUUCAUGAACCUUGUUUCUCAGGCUGCAUAUGUGAAUAUGGGCUCUUUUAAGCACUUUUCUGGGUUGGUUGAUUGUUUUUAAUGCUUUAUUGGGAAGCUUAUCAGAAGAAGACUUGAUAGUGCAGGGUGAGCUGCACAAAGUGGUCUUCCUAUAGGGGACACCACCUCAAUGCUAACAGUGUAACUCUGGUUCAUAGGCUCAUGAUUACUGCAUCCAAUAGCUGUAGGAUUAACAAAGGUAUGCAUGGCUAUUAGGGGGACGAAGUCAAUGUUCCCAGAGGAGGACGGAAACUAGCUGUCCUCCGGCUACACCAUCGUGCUACCGGCAGAGUACUGUUGAGGCUAUUGCAGACCUUCACUGCAAAACAGUGUGUUUUAAUCAAUUAUUUUGUGAUGUGAAUAUUUAGUAUAGAUUUAUCUAAAAAGGAUUACUUUUUUAAUGUUUCACUUUUUCUUUUCUCUGAAGUUCACUGAGGAGGAUGGUCCUCUCCUUCCACCUCUCAGGAGCCUCCACUGGUUCAAACUGACCGUCAAUGAUCUGACACCUGCCUGGACAAUCUUUCCCCGUAUUAUUAGUCAUUGCUUAUAUUGUUAAAAUAUGACACUGUUCUACAAAAUCAGCGUUUGUCUAACAUUAUUAGAAAAGACUGCAUUGUUUUUGACAUCUCAGAGGCAGUUCCAUAUCCUUAUGUCUUUAUGAUGUAUAUCCAGGUAAUGUACCAUACACGUUGAGAGCAAAACCGCAAACACAUUCGUUUUAAUUGUCUUGGACUUAAUCAUUAGAGUGUGACAGAAUUCAGACUAAUCUGCACACCUGGUUCUGAUUGUCUGUCUGUCUCCUCUGAGCACCACUCGGCCUCUGUAUCUGUGCUUCUGAUACUCUGUGCUUCUCAACUCAGUUUCACUCAGCCUCUGUAUCUGUGCUUCUGAUUGGCUGUCUGUCUCAACUUAGUUCCACUCAGUCUCUGUAUCUGUGCUUCUGAUUGGCUGUCUGGCUCAACUCAGUUGCACUCAGCCUCUGUAUCUGUGCUUCUGAUUGGCUGUCUGUCUCCUCAGUAUCUCUGGCGCUAGAGAGAAAACAAAGCUGACAAACCGGUGACAGGAUCUGUAAGGAGCUAAAGCUCAAUUACCUUACGGAUGCAAUCAGUAGCUGAUAUGGUAUGCUCCUGUCUACCACAGACAGAUGCCUGCUCCUGUCUACCACAGCCGGAUGUCUAUGAAGGCUGAUGGAUGGGAAUGUGUCCCUUAUAUUUCAACAGUGCCUUGAUUAGACGUUUUAAAAAUAAUAGCCUUUGUUAAGUUCAUGAAGUUCCUGACAUACUGUAAGUGGAUGCAGAUGCGUCAUUCUAAAACGGAGAGGUAGUGCUCUCCCUACAGAGUGUGCACCUAAACUCCAAUAAGGGAGUGAACUUUAUUUAUAAUAAGGGUUAAAUGGAUAAAACUGGAAUUCUCUGAAAUUAAAAUGGAUUGCUCUCCCUUCAGCAAAAUAUAUUUUACCUAAACGUUCCCUGAACGCCUGAAAAAAUAAAAAGUGACCCCUCCCUAUACACAAAGUAAUAAUGAAAACAAAGUGGAUAGCAGAGAACAUGUCAGUUUAGCCUCAUUUCUUGGACAGACCAGAUCCUUAGAUAUGCAGUUUUAGAAACUGUUCUUCAUCCUGUUAGCAUUACAUGGCAACGUGGGAAUUUUGAUAGUGCACAGGGCUGCGGGCUAGAAGGUUGUGGGUUCGCAGACCAACGUGGUGAAGAGUAGGGUGGAAAAACUCCUUUAUAGUAAAAGCAUUGCAUGAGUCUAUCAUCGUAUUUGCAGGUCCAAGACAAAAUUGCUUUUCAUAGAUAUUUCAUGCAAUUCAACGUAAUUUUACAUAUUAG
rnacentral:lncRNA from 1 species